rnacentral:rRNA from 1 species
AGUGAACGCUGGCGGUAGGCCUAACACAUGCAGGUCGAACGGUAGCACAGUAAGAGCUUGCUCUUACGGGUGGCGAGUGGCGGACGGGUGAGGAAUACAUCGGAAUCUACUUUUUCGUGGGGGAUAACGUAGGGAAACUUACGCUAAUACCGCAUACGACCUACGGGUGAAAGCAGGGGAUCUUCGGACCUUGCGCGAUUGAAUGAGCCGAUGUCGGAUUAGCUAGUUGGCGGGGUAAAGGCCCACCAAGGCGACGAUCCGUAGCUGGUCUGAGAGGAUGAUCAGCCACACUGGAACUGAGACACGGUCCAGACUCCUACGGGAGGCAGCAGUGGGGAAUAUUGGACAAUGGGCGGAAGCCUGAUCCAGCCAUACCGCGUGGGUGAAGAAGGCCUUCGGGUUGUAAAGCCCUUUUGUUGGGAAAGAAAAGCAGCAGGUUAAUACCCCGCUGUUCUGACGGUACCCAAAGAAUAAGCACCGGCUAACUUCGUG